rnacentral:rRNA from 1 species
UACGUAGGGGGCAAGCGUUGUCCGGAAUCACUGGGCGUAAAGCGCGUGUAGGCGGCCCUGCAAGUCGGAUGUGAAAUCCCACGGCUCAACCGUGGAAGUGCAUUCGAAACUGCAGGGCUAGAGUCCUGGAGAGGAAGGUGGAAUGCUUGGUGUAGAGGUGAAAUUCGUAGAUAUCAAGCGGAACACCGGUGGCGAAGGCGGCCUUCUGGACAGUGACUGACGCUGAGACGCGAAAGCGUGGGGAGCAAACAGG